rnacentral:lncRNA from 1 species
UCACCAACCCGGGAACGGCGACAGCUGCAGCCCCAAUCAUGCAGUGAUGCUUUCCAUUUCAGUUCAGUUACAAGGGGAGCCAAGUACCUCGCUCAUCUGCAGACUGGGUACGGCGUCACUGACUUCCAGGACUGGCAAAGGGAUGGGCCCAGAUACAUAACACAAGGAAACUACAUUUCAUAGAAGGCUCAAAGUUCUACGGCUUGACUAAUGGAACAACCUACUUUGCCUGGGAGACAGAAGAGGCGAGUGGAUACGCAUCAAACAAUCUCAAAGUCAGCCUAAGUCUCAAGCUCCAAGCAGACAAUUUCUCUAGAAUGUAAUAUGUAUGCUAAGAAGUAAUACUUAACAGGUUCCACAGUACUGAUAACAGCAGAUGAGAGGAAAAAGCGGCUGAGAAGAAAGAAACCAGCUUGCUUACACACCAGUGGGGGUACAGACCUGGGAAAUGGAUUCGAAGAACAGUUUGUUUAUUUCAGCCAAAACUGCCAGGGCACAUAUCCUCUGACUCAGCAACUAAAAGGAAGGAAGCACCCAGAAGUGAAAAGGGCGGUUUCUUUCCUUAUCGUUUGAUGCAGGAUCUCUCUACACCAUAGCAGCCUCAAGCUUGUCCUCCUUCUGUCCCGAGAGGCCUGAGACUGAGAAAAAUAACCUGAAAGCAUCCUAAGAUCCUUGGUAUACUCUGCAACAUCAAAGAGAGCAACGAUGACUUCCCACAGAUCUGAGUGACAGGACAGAGAGAGUGACUACAUCUCAU